rnacentral:rRNA from 1 species
UACGUAGGGUGCGAGCGUUGUCCGGAAUUAUUGGGCGUAAAGAGCUUGUAGGCGGUUUGUCGCGUCUGCUGUGAAAAUCCGGGGCUCAACCCCGGACUUGCAGUGGGUACGGGCAGACUAGAGUGUGGUAGGGGAGACUGGAAUUCCUGGUGUAGCGGUGAAAUGCGCAGAUAUCAGGAGGAACACCGGUGGCGAAGGCGGCAUCCUGGACCGGCAUUGACGCUGAGGAGCGAAAGCGUGGGGAGCGAACAGG